AUCGCUUCUCAGCCUUUUGGCUAAGAUCAAAUGCAAUAUCUAUUCUUAUCAGUUUACUAUAUGAUACAUCCUGUAUUCAAUGGCAAUAUAUUAGAUGGAUUCUGGAGCAAGAAGAUGAAGUAGGAGCUUGCUCUGUCCAUUGUAUGUAUUGAUUUGGUAUUGUAGUACCUCUAGAAAUGCUGUGCCCUAU